AGAUUUCUUUCUGCAGGACUAAAGGUAUGGAAGAGAAUUGUGUUUUGAGAUUAUUUAUAUUACAGACAUUUUCCUUAUUGGAGCCUAUCUUCUAAACUUCUGUUCUGUGGGUUUUUUUGUUUUAAGGAAUCUUGUGCUUAAUUCAAAUUUGCUAGCUAUGAUUCUUCAUAUCUGCUUAGGAUAGCCAAUAUACCUAAUAUCAAGUUCCGUUUAGCUUGAGUUUGUUAAUCUGUACAUUUUGACCAUGAAAAAGCAUUCUAUCUUUACUUUAUCUUUUCGUUUGAAAAGUUGGCUUGAUGAAAAUUUUAAAUAGAGUGCAAUAGUUUGCAUGUUAUAGAUAAAAGGGUGCAAAUUUUUAUACAAGAUGGAGAAUAAUGUGACUAGUGAAACACAUUCAUACUGGUCAUAUCUCCAGGCUGAUUCAGUCCUAGUAUGAUUUGGCAGAGUUGAAAAAGAAAAGAAAGGGAGAAAGAGAGGGGGUUGCAGGCCUUCUAUUAUGAAGAAUGAGACAAAUGAGUGUCAUAGAAAGUUAGCAACUAUAGAAACAGAAGUUCAUAGACAAGUGGGUGAGUGGUCAAAUGGUGAUUUUAUUUAAGGAAUGGGAAAGAAGAAUGAAGCAAUCACAUUUGGGAUGUACACGUACAUGCAUCAUGAAGAAUAAGUUACAUAAAUUUCAUGCCCUAGUUGAUUCUGUUCACUUUGUUUUGAUGUCCUUGCUUAAAUUUCUUGCAGCUGGAUAGAAAACCAUCCAAAU
rnacentral:misc_RNA from 1 species